GUAGGUGAACCUGCGGAAGGAUCAUUAAAGAGUUCAUGCCCUCGCGGGUAGAUCUCCCACCCUUGAAUAUAAUACCUUUGUUGCUUUGGCGGGCCGCCCUGUCCACCGGCUCCGGCUGGUGUGUGCCCGUCAGAGGACCCUAAACUCUGAAUUAAAGUGUCGUCUGAGUACUAUAUAAUAGUUAAAACUUUUAACAACGGAUCUCUUGGUUCUGGCAUCGAUGAAGAACGCAGCAUCUGACUGACUAAGA
rnacentral:misc_RNA from 1 species